GGCCCACCCUUGAUGAACCAUUGCGGAUGUAAAUCUUUAUCACCUUGUCGGAAAAGCGCAAAAAACAAAUGUCGAAACUUUCCGUUGCCUUCCUUCUGAUUUUUUUGGC
rnacentral:snoRNA from 1 species